rnacentral:lncRNA from 1 species
CCACGGCGGCAGCUCAGCUGAUGCCAAGCGGUGCUGGGUUGAUCCUGCAAACUCUGACGGCCUCAAUUGCGCUGAACGCGAGGGCAAGGCUGCGAAAUCUUCUGGCGUGAAGAAAAUGGGGUCUAUGGAGGGCAGCGGCAGCCAGGGAGGCGCCAGUGGAGGCGCUGCGCCGGUGAAGCCGGUGCCCAGGGAGGAGAUUUGCGUCACCAACGCAGAGGCUCCUGCCGUCGCCAUGGACAAAUCGGAGGUGAUCGACCUGACCCUAGAUGACUGAAGCUGGUGGCAGGAUAUGAUAAAGUCUGGCCUCAACUUUCCAUUCAUGAACUGUUAUUUCUCAGACAUUUCGUGCAUUCGCCUAUCGUGUUUGUGCGUGCUUUUUAUUUCCAUUCUAGGCACAUAGUUGUUUGUGCUUUCUGAACUUCAAAUAAGAGGAGACAUUCGUCGUAUGUUUUGCUCUUCAUGUUUGGUGUCUGUCUAGUUGUCAUAAAUUCUUGUUUUUUCAACUAAGAAAAUAUUCUUGUUUUUUUCUAUCU